rnacentral:rRNA from 1 species
AAUUUUGGACAAUGGGGGAAACCCUGACCCAGCCAUCCCGCGAGUAUGAUGAAGGCCUUCGGUUUGUAAAGCACUUUUCGCAGGGAAGAAAAUGCGCGGGCUAAUCCCCGGCGCCGCUGACGGUACCUGCAGAAUAAGCACCGGCUAACUCCGUGCCAUCAGCCGCGGUAAUCCGUAGGGUGCAAGCGUUAAUCGGAAUUACGGGGCGUAAAGCGUGCGCAGGCGGUUCGGCAAGAAGGAUGUGAGAUCCCGGGGCUUAACCUCGGAACUGCAUUCUUAACUGCCGGGCUAGAGUAUGUCAGAGGGGGGUAGAAUUCCACGUGUAGCAGUGAAAUGCGUAGAGAUGUGGAGGAAUACCGAUGGCGAAGGCAGCCCCCUGGGAUGAUACUGACGCUCAUGCACGAAAGCGUGGGGAGCAAACA